CAUCUGCUUGCACAUAAGAGCGGUGCUGCACCGUUUGUUUUUUGUGGUGGUUGGGGGCACGUCGCUCUCUCAAACUCUGCCCGUCCUUUGCGCACACAAGCAGAAAUAGGCUGACGCACUAAAGGACUAGUAUCAAAGCUGCGUUCAUGUGGCGCCGUGCGCCAGUUUUGCGGAAACGCAAGGUGCCGCCGCUGGGGUACAGCAAGAACGACUUUUUUCGGAAGGUUCGCAGCCCCGGUGCUAGUAAACCAUGGCGCGACAGAGCUGCAGCCACGGGUGGUAGCAUCGAGGUAACAUCCAACGUCGAUGUGGUCGAUGAGGAUGGGAGCACGAUCAUGGGAAGUCUUACCACCUCUGGCCCUCUCGGCAUGCGCAGCCCCCACAUGCCACCGUCGGCUGCGAAGGCGGCCCUUGCCGAUGCCCAGCAGCAGCCUUCCUGGGGCGGCGGGCCAGCCGCAGCUGCUCGGGCAAACCAUUGCUUCGGUGCUCCGCUGCUUCGCUCGCUUGACGGGCCCACGACCACAGGUGGCGUUCACGAUGACGCCUCCACAGCGCUUGCUGGUGCUGCUGCAUCAGUGGCGUUGCUCGCGGCUCCUUAUGGUGAGGACGCCGGUGUCCCUCGUGCAGCGCUGCCAUCGUCUUCGCCUUCUUCGGCUGGGGUCUCUCGGCUGCAGGCUGGAACGCCGAUAGCCACCGUUCCAUUUGGGAAAUCGCUUCAGCUGAACGUGGAGGAGGUGGACACGUACCCGUCGUCAGAGCCUGUGCCACUUCAACUGCAGGGCCUAAAGCGCCGCUCCAGGAAAGCGGUGGCCGACUCCAUCCUGCUGCCCCGACACAUCAACAGGCUCUUCCACAAGAUCAUGGGAUGGUCGGAGGAGCUGGUUGACCUCGAGGCGGAGAAGGACUCGCUCUCGCAGGAGCAGACGGGUGCGUCCGAGCCGCGAGGCGCAAGGCCGAGCGCGUUACGCAAAAAGGCGGAAAAUUUGACGGACAAGAUGAAGUACGGCGUUCUCCUCGACGCAUACGAAAAGGAUCGGUUUGCCAUCGAGCAUCAGCUGGAGAUUGCCGGCGAGAAGAUGGAGCGCAAGAUGCUGGGAUGGGAGGGGAUGCAUGUCCUGGACCAGGACGCUGCUGCGGAGAUGGCGCACGUGCUGGAGAACAAGACAUCCAUCGUCAUGGAGGCUCCUUCGUCGUUUCACGUUCCAGUGCCUGGCCGCGACUGCUGCCCAGGGUGUGGGGCGCUUUUGCAGAACCUUAGUGAGGACGCCUUCGGCUACGUUCGGCCGGGCGAGAUCGAAAAGUACGUGGCUCAGCGGAACGAGAAGGCGCAGCUCCGCCAUGAAUACGCGGCUCGCAUGGCAGAGCUGCAGGCGCACUGGGCGAAGCACGGCCGUCAUGUCGGAGAGGAGUGGCUGGACUUCAUGACGCAGGAGGAGUUUGAUGCCUUUUACCGUGACACGCCGCGCCCCUUCACCUGCCACCGUUGCCACGCCUUGGAAAACCUGGGCGUGGAGGGGCGUCGCAAGGUUUGGUCUGCCCCGGACUUCACGGACCAGCUCCGCGCCCUCAAGGAAAAGAAGUGCGUGGUCGUCUUGGUCGUGGAUAUCACGGACUUUCCGGGCUCGAUGGUGUACGAUUUGCCCGGCCUGAUCAGCAUGAAUAAUUCAGUCAUUAUCGCAGUGAAUAAGAUGGACUGCAUCCGGAAUCGCUCUUUCAACUACGCCAGCAAGGAUCGCAGCGUUGCAGCGUGCUUGGUGUCCGAGAGCUACGUGCGCCGUUGGGUGAUGGACAUUGCGGUGCAAUUUGGACUACCGCAGCAUCAAAUCAAAAAAGUGGUACCUCUGUCUGCAAAGCGGGGCUGGGGCAUCACGCACUUGAUCAGCGCCAUCGAGGACGCGGCCAAUUUGAACCUGCGUCGCCCCCACAAGCCUCUGCCCACCUACUUUGUCGGCGUGGCAAACGUGGGCAAGUCUUCUGUGAUUAAUGCCAUGGCGCACGCCCUUUACGUGCCGCAACCCCCCCACCCGGAGAGCCGAAAAGUGUACUACACAAAGACCGACGCACAGGGGAAGAAUGCUGUCUUUUGGCGUUGGUACACUCCCCCUAACGUGAAUCAAGCAGAGAUGCUCGACAUACGGGGCCGCCACGACAAGAAGGCGUCUAAGCUGAUGACGGUAUCUUCCCUACCCGGCACCACAGUUGCCGUUAACGCUGUUCGCCUCUCUCUCGGACCCACAGCGCAUACCGCAAAGCAGGAGCGUCAGCGACUUUCGGAGGGCGCGACCGCGCCUGGGAAAGCGGACGACGUCGCCGGGACACAGACCUACAUCUACGACACACCAGGGCUCCUCCCUCACUGGCACCAGCGUUCUCUUCUCACCCUGCUGCAGAUGCGCCGCACGCUUAUUCGAAAGUUUCGCAACCCACAGUGCUUUCUCCUGCUGCCAGGACAUACACUGUUCCUUGGCGGCCUCGCCGCUGUCGAUGUUGUGCGCGGCCCGCCGCGAGGGCUGCUCUUUCUUGUCUACACAUCUCAGAAGGUGCGGAAUGCUAUUGUGAAUACAGUGCAAUCCGAUGCGUUCUGGCGAGAGCAGCUGGGCAAGGCGCUGGACCCUCCCGGCUCGUAUGAGCAGCUGCUUCCGCUGGACGAUCUCAGCACCGCAGCCGGCCCGCCUCGUCUCUCCGAGACAAGGAGCUACCUCUUCGAGUGCUACGGGCGUCAUCGGCGGCGCCCCAAGGCUGAUCUGUACGUGUGCGGUCUCGGCUGGACUUCGUUCUGCGUCAGUGAGCCCGCGGACGUUGUCUUGCGCGUGCGCACGUUACCCGGGGUUGUCCACGGCGUGCGCGAGCCGCUACGCUUCAAAGACCUUCGUGCACGACGGGCGUGGCCAAGGCUGAAGCGACGCUUUACCGCCAAAGGGAUCGAAGAUAUGGAGAGCGACGUCGAUAGAGACUCCAUCAAUACUGUGGUGCGCCUCAUAUCAGCACCAGUGGCGCCAGCACCCGCUGCGUCUGCGGAUGAGCCUCCCGAAGCAAGCGUGCGCACGGUUGAGCGGGUGGCGCAUCCCCGCCAUCACUCCGCUUCGUCCGCCCCGUUUGCGGCGUUGAAGGAAGACCUGCACGCCGUCGGGAAGCUGUAGCACUUCCCUCCUCGAUAUGGGCCAUGUGCACGCCCUUCCAUACAGUGGCCCUUGUACAAGCUGCUGUUUCGCCUUAAAGACAGGAGCAGCCGCGGCAACUGAAGAGUCCGACGACGGCGUGGCACCCUGCGGUGCCCCUGGUUGAGGGCUGCAAGGACACACACACCAGGGGGAGGUAUGCAUGUCUGUCAAGUACUUUUCUCAACCCCUUUUUCCCGCCUUAGCUGCCCCCUUUCCUUCACACACACAGACGUACGCUCGUAUUUACCUUCCGUAAGGCGAUUCAACAACAUUAAAGCUGCCGUAGACAUGCAAACUCGAUCGUGGCGGCUCAAUCGAUGCUGCCGCCGCGACACCUCGCUGUCAAUAGUUGCCAUAUCUAAAGCAGCAGCCC
rnacentral:misc_RNA from 1 species